rfam:Phascolarctobacterium sp. CAG:266 genomic scaffold, scf268
CGGGGCGUGGCUCAGCUUGGUAGAGCACCUGUCUUGGGAACAGGGGGUCGCAGGUUCGAAUCCUGCCGCUCCGA